AAGGCUCACCUCUGUUGACUUACUUUUUCCAGUCUCCUCAAAGAGCACUACCAAUCUGAGACUAAGCAUUCGAAUGUAUGAACCUGUGGGGGACAUUUUCAUUCAAACCAUCACGAGGUCCUUAUGCUUUAGUGGAAGAGUUCAAGUUAUGCCAUGAGUAACUGCAAGUAUCAGUGACGUGCAACUUACCAAAGAGAUAUUUGCACAUUCGUGUUUGUUGCUGACCUAGACACAAUAGAGGGAAAACAGAAGCAGCCUACAUGGCUAUCAACACAUGAAAGGAUAAUGAAAUGUGGUAUUUGUGUAGCCAUAUAUUGGACUGGAUUGGAAAUCAUUGUGUUAGGAAAAAUAAGCCAUACUCAAAUGAUAUAUUAGAGUAUUAUUAUAUGCAGAAAUAUUUAAAUAUUUAAAACUGUAUUGUUUAGUAUUCUUUCAGAUAUUAUGGGUAUUGUGAGAAAAAGCUUUAUUGUCAAGAAAGCAAAUCCUGGUACCUAACACAGUGGUUUUCAAGGAACUACACCACUGGAAGUUGAUAGGGAACUAUGAAAGAGGAGGAAAGGACCUUAAAGGAGUCAAGAGAGGCACACAGUGUGAAAGCAAAGGAGAAACUAUUUGGAGAGAGGAGGACAAGCAAUAGUGAGGACACAGGGAAAAGAGAAGGAUAAGAACAAUUAUAUUGAUCCAUGUGUAUGAAAAUGACAUAAUAAAAUUUUUCUUUAUACAACUUAAUUUAAAGAUGAUUCCGUGGUUAAUUAAGAGCCCCAGCUGUGAUGCCAGGUAACCCAAGCCUGGUUCCCAGUGGCAAAAUCACGUGGCUCACAACUUCCUGUACCUCUGACCUGAGGGGUUCUGAGACUUUCUUGUGGGUUCUGUGCAAUGGCAUACACGCAAACAGACACACACUUGUAACUACUUCUUAAUUAGUUAAAAAAAAAAAAAAACACAGUGACUUAGCAAAAAUGUUCUUCAUUUAUUUCUCCUUUGCCCAAAGUUUGUCAUAUUUCUCCAGGGCAAUGAUCCUCCACGUGUCCUCCCCAUGUCUCAUGAGUUCAGGAGCAUCACCAUCUCUCUGUAAGGCAGCUUUAAUAUUAAAGGAGGAAGAGACAAUGAAGAGUUUCCUAUGGGUUUGUCAAUAGUGCGGCUUGGAAGUGACCCACCACACUGUCUCUCAGGACACAUCACAUCCUCACCCAAUGACACAGAGACUAGGAAAUCUGAAGUAGCCUGCAGAUGAUUUGGACAUUGUUGUAUUAUUGAGCUACCUCUGUAGUCCAUGGCUAUCUUUCCAGAAAGAUACUGUUGUGUUAACACGCGCCCUCCAUCCCAUUGCUCUGUGUCAGGGCUUGUUGGGAAUCGCUGCAUUGUGAACCACGCACAAUGACCAUACUUUUUUCAUUUUUCUCCCUCCCUUCUCCAUCUCUUCCUUCUCCUUCUCAUUGUCUUUUUCUUCUGCUCCUCCUCCUUCUUCUCUUCCUCCUUCUCCUCCUCCUUCUCCUCCUUCUCCUCCUUCUCCUCCUCCUUCUCCUCCUUCUCCUCCUUCUCUUCCACCUCCUCAUUCACCAUCACCAGAAUCAUCACCAUCAUCUUAGCUCAUCUAUAACUACAAUUGUCUCUAGCUCACAGCUUUAGAUCUUGUUAGUUGAGGAGCUAAUUAAAAUUUAUUAAACAAACCUCUAAUGUAGUGUUUCCUAGGAACUAUUCCAAGAAAAUUCAUUCUUUCAGAUAUUAAUAGGUAUUCUGAGAAAAGCUUUAUUGUCAAGUAAAUAAGUCCUGGUACCUAACAUGGAUUUUUACCACAGUAUGUUUUAAAUUAAUAUGCUGUCGGAAGGACUUCCAAAAGGUAUACCUGGAAGAAGGGUGCUAAAGAGUCAAGCUAAUAUUCUCUAGUUUCAUGUGUACUCUUGACAAAUAAUAACAUGUCUGAUUGAUCCAACUGAUGGUCCUCUUGUCCUGUCUCCAUCCUUACCAAACACACACACACACACACACACACACACACACACACACACACACACCCUCUGUCUACUCUGGUGUUGGUACACUGCUCAUCAUAUAUAAGUCUCUGUCUAACAAAGGCACCAUAGUAAACAUCAUCACAGAAAUGGAUUCUAGGGACUAGGGACUAAAGCCUCAGCAAGUCAGGCACUUUCAAACUCUUGAAUUUUAAUGGAACUGAAGGACAGGCUAAUGGAGUUGUUAAGGGAGAUAGACCAUUGAAAUCUUUUCAUGAUAAAUGACUGCAUGUUCUUUUUUUUUUACAUCUCUAAAAUAAACUUGUUUGAUAAAUCCAUCCCCUUCUACUUACUUAUAUGAACAAUUUCUCCAUGCCUGUCUCUGAAAAAAAAGAAAGAAAGAAAGAAAGAAAGAAAGAAAGAAAGAAAGAAAGAAAGAAAGAAAGAAAAAGAAAAAGAAAAAGAAAUUAGAAGGGUUGCUGCACCCUGCCUCAUUCAGCACAAUAGAGAAAUGAAACACUUGAGAAAAACCCACUUGACUUAUUACUUACUAUAACUCCAAUAAAAAUGUGCUUAAGUAUUAAUAUCUUCUGCUGUUUUAACUAAUUCUAGCUUAAUAGUAACUAAACCCAGAAAAAUAUAAGCACUUGUAGACUUGAACUUACAUAGUGUAUUAGCUGGCAGUGACAAACACCAUGACCAAAAACAACUUGUGGGGGGUGGGGAGGAAGGGUUUAUUUAGCUUAUACUUCCAGGUCACAAUACAACAUUGAGGGAGUUUAGGCAGGAACUUAAGGCAGGAACCAGCAGACAGGAACUAUGAAGGAAGACUACUUAUCAGUUCCCUCACUGGCUCAGGUUCUACUAGCUUUGCUAUAUAGGUCAAGGUCACCUGUCUAAGGAUGACACUGCCUUCAGUGGGUUGAGCCCUCCUACUUCAAUUAGCAACCAAGAAAAUGCCCCCACAGACAUGCCCACAGGCCAUCCUAUUGGAGGCAGUUCUUCAACUCAGGUCCCUCUUCCCAGACAACUCUAGGGUGAGUUAAGUUGACAAUAAAAACUACCCAGGACAGGUGUGAAUUUUUUUCUUUUGAUAUGGAGAGGGGGCA
rnacentral:lncRNA from 1 species